rnacentral:lncRNA from 1 species
GCAGAUUGUCCUGAGCCCCAAGUGUCUGUGAUUCUCUUAGCUAAGUAAGGAAUCAGUGCCAGAGACAGAGGUUGCUGGAGCUGAGAGGAGACGUAGUCAAGAAGAUUGGAGAAGGCUCUGCGGAGAAGGUGAACUUGAGCUAAGACUUGAAGGGAGGGCAGGCUUGAAGGGAUGAAACAGCCUCCUCUGUGCUAAAGAGAGGAGUGACAGGGCCAUCAUCAGGCAAAGGGGACAUUACCAGGCAAAGGGACACCAUUGGUCAAAGGCGAUGGUGGAGACAAGACAUUCUGGAAGAGCCCGGAUCAGAGAGAUUUGGGGCCAGGAGCCGGCAUCAGGGGACCGGCUCCCUAAGGAACCAUGGCACCACUGGCUCUCAGCUGGAAAUAAGCAGCAGAUGAAGCACAUGCAUCCUGAGUUUUGGCUCUGGUGAUGGUGGUGGAGCUGUUAAUUCUUGGAGUCCAAAUUCCUGCACCACCUCUGAGUUCCGAGGGGGUGGGGAAGAGCAAGUGAUGGCUGGACAGCAAAGAGGAGUGGAGGCCGGGAGAAUGGGCAGCUAGCCCAGCGCUCUCCAAUAUCUGGGAGUCGACCGCACUCCUGCACUCCCUGUCAUCCCUGCUAAUGGUAUUACCAUUGCUCCAAUCUUACAGAUGAGGAAACUCAGGCAUGGAGAGGUUGAGCGACUUGCCCAAAUUCAUGCAGUUAGGACCUGGCAGAGCUGCGCUUUGAACCCAGGCUGCCUGGCUCUAGAGUGUGUGCACGAAACUUCACUGCCAUAUGAACAAAACUGCAGGACAUAUGUUCUCAAAGCAAAUAAGCCUCCCAGAGAGGCUUUUCCUGAUGGCUUCAAGGACCUGCCCUAGCCUGGUCUGACUUCCCAGAGGGGAUCCAGUCCCAACAUUGGCCCUAUCUUUAGACCACAUUUCCAUCCCAUUCUCAGUGAAAACCCUGAGUCAUGACAGAAGACAACCAAUGCUGGAGAGAGGAGGUUUCAGGUAAUGCCUGUUUUAGGCAUCCUCUCCUUUAAGAAAAAUUUUUAUAUCAAGGCACCUCAACAUAAUAAUACCUUUAUUGCAUAUAGGUAGAAUAUAAAACUGACUUGUAAGACCACUCUGUGUGUGUGUGUG